rnacentral:lncRNA from 1 species
CAGGGGUUGCCCCUUGCCACAGGGUGGGCAGGUGGCCUCCAGGGAGGAAGGUGUGUCUGGGGCUGACGAGGGAGCAUGCAGAGGUCCUGGGGGGAGGCUGGUGUGGCGACUUGAGAGACACAAGGAGCCGAGAUGCCGCAGGAGGGCAGGGCAUGAAACCACAUGGGUCAUGGUGAGGAUGGUGGCCUUUAUUCUGAGCAAAGUAGGGAGUUACUAGCAGAUUUUGUGCGAGAAAUGGAAUCAUUUUCACAGCAUCACUCUGCUGUGCUGGAAACGGCUGUCGGGAGGUUUGUGAGCAGGAAGGACGGGAUACUCAUGAGGAAGAAGGCAGGCAACUGCCGGAGGGGGCUGCUGCUUUUCGUGGUUUGAGUUGAAGGAGUGGGCCUUGCAUAAUGGUGCGCACCUGUAAUCCCAGAAUCUUGGUAGGGCAAGGUGGGAGGAUCGCUUGAGACUGGGAGGUCAAGGUUGCGGUGAGCUGUGAUUGCACCACUGCACCCCAGCCAGGGCAACAGAGGGAGACACUGUGUCAAUCAACCAAUCAAUUAAUAAGAGUGGCGGACGGCUUGGAUGUGGGGAGCAAGAGAAGAAAAAGUCAAUGGAGCAGAAUUGCCGGGUCACACGCUGGGAAGAACCCAAUGUUUGUGUCCUCCCAAAAUGCACAAGUCAAAAUCCCAACCCUCAAGAUGAUGGGAUUAGGAGGCGAGGCCUUGGGAGGUGAGGAGGUCGUGAGGGUGAAGCCUCAUGAAUGGGAAUCGUGCCCCCAAUAAAGAGGCCUGAGAGAGCUCCCUCGCCCCUUCUUCCACAUGAGGACCCAGUGAGAAGGCGCCGGAUAUGAGCCAGGAAGGGGACUUCGGAGGACAGCAAAUCUGCCACACCUCCAUCUAGAACUUCCAGCCCCCAGAAGUGUGAGCAAAAAGUGUCCGCUGUUUAUAAGCCACCCAGGCUGUGGCAUUUUUGUUACAGUCCAGAUGGGCUAUGACAUACAGGAAUUCUGUUUCACCCUCUGAGGACCUGCCAGGCUAUUUUACAAAGUGGCUGCACCAUUUCACGUUCCCACCAGCAUUGCGUGCAGGCUCCCAGGCAGAGACACUGUGCUUCUCUCUCCUGGGAACUGUCACCUACAGCAGGCACCAACCUGGGCAGCAGUCGGCUGGAGAACCACGUCAUCAAUGAGCUUCCGGGGAAGGAGUGGAGACAGAUGAGCCUGCAGUGUGGUCAUUGCCAGGACUGAGCCAGCACCGGGAAGCUGCGGGAGCCACUGGCUGGGGGCGGCAGGGACUGCCCCAGACUCACAGGGAGAGGGGUGUUCACCAAGGGCUUCUAGGGAGAGGCCACGCCGUGGAAGAGUGAAACCCAGCAGGCCACAGGACGGAGCAGCCAGCAUGGACUCAGCUCUGUCUAUAUGGGUCCUGAGUCCCGUUCCCACGUGAUAACCAGUGACUACACUGACAGACACAAUUUUAGCUAAGAGCAAGAUGUUUGCAGGGGUAGACUGUGCAGUCUUCCCAUGGGAAUGUGUGGAGCUGCCGUGGGGUUCUUUGGAAAUAGGACAAGUGCCACGGGGACCCGUUACCUCUGAGGACCCCUAACUAUGAAGCUAUUAACCCUGUAACGGACUUGGCUAACAACUUGAGCAAAGCACUCAGACCUGACUCCCAGCAGAGCAGCCCAGCCAGGCUGAGAGCAGGGGAUUCGGGGGCUCCUAGACAGGGGUGUGAGUCCAGUUUCCCCAUCACCACAGGCUGAACUGUGUUCC